GUUGCCGAUUUGUUGAAUACCAUUUCUUCGCAGACGAAAAUUUUCCCUCCUUUCAUUCAGACAACCGACGAGACUCCUAAUUGUGAUCAUGUCGGUCAUUCCACGAGUAGUUCCAUUGAUGAUUCGUUCUCAUACACUCACUGAGCUUACACGCGAACACACCGCUUUCUUUCUUCCUCCAAAACGAAUUGAGCCCAAAUAUCUCACCCUGACCCUCUUGCAGCCCCAAGUCCCAAAUGAUAAUACAUACUCGAUCAAUACGUGGCUCAGAAGCGAAACUUUGAAGAUUGUGUUUGAAUCUCCUUUCUCUCCCAGCCCUAACCCUGUCUGGAGUCGUGGAAGCAAUCUUUAUGUAACAGAGAUCAUUUAUCCAAGCACUAGCCCUCGCUCUCUCAUUUGAAGGCCCCAUUAUCCAAGCCCUAACCCCCUUCUCUCCCAUUCGAAGCAAACUUUGGCGUCAAAACCCUGAUAACCGAAGCCCUAAUUUUUUGUGUCUGGUUCUACUGCUGAUUCAAAGCAAGGAUCGAUUAAUUUCGUUCUCUCUCUAAAAAUUCUUUCAGUUUCUUCAACCUUCCGUGUCGAACAUUCCGAUGAUGAGCGAGCAAAUGGGUCUUUCUGGCACUUAUCGUCUCCGUCGUGGUCUCUCUGAGAAACCCCUAAGGUGAAACAGAACUCGCUACUUCACCAUCUUCUUCAAUCGAUUCUUGGAUUUCUAUAGAUUUUCUUUCUGGUAUCGAAGGAGGUGCCCUCAAUCUCGAGUACGAAUUCUACCGAGAAACAUGCCCAUUCUUCAAGCACAGGAACACCCCAGCGCAACUACUGCGCCUCUUGUUCCACGAUUACUUCAUUGAGGGUUGUGAUGCUUCAGUUCUAUUAGAUGACAACAAUGGGAAUAAGAAUAACUCCAUUGAGAAGGAUGCUAUUCCAAACAAAACGUUAAAGGGGGUCUGAUUAAGGAGGAGCUGGAAAAAGUUUGCCCAGGGGUGGUUUCUUGUGCUGACAUUCUUGUUCUUGCUACUAGAGAUGGUGUUCUUAUGUCGAACAGGCUCACAUUUGGAACUACUCAAGGAUCACCCUAAGCUCAUACGAUUGCUAGAAGUGAAAAAAGAUUCACUACUACAAGGUGCAGUUGAGCAAGACAAAGUAAAAAAUCAAUACGGAAUCUGGUUGACAGUCAAGUCAACGAAUGUCUUUCCUGCGUUCCACAAGUUGGGGAUCAUCUGGAUCAGGAAGCACAUCACCUCUCACUCUCUGUCCCAUUUGGUCCACUAGCACUAGCAGGAGUGAGUGUUCCUGACACUGCAUUAACAGAACCUGGUGGCACCUAUAAAAACUGUCAGAAAAGCAUCGAGAAGUUCCACUGCCGCCUUGCCUAUCUCAACAAACCAGAGGUUCUGGUUCUAAUAGCAGGAGCCGUAUCUGCAAUUAUUAAUGGUGUGAUUACGUUACUGGAUUAGUUGACUGUCGCUUCCAUUUUUCACAAGGCAGAGAUUGGGUUGGCUGGGCGCUUCUAUAGCUCAUUGAAUUUUUGUUUUCGAAGGUCUUCAGGGCAGGCAUCUCACUUCACGAGUGCAUUUGGCGCUGAUCAAGUUGUUGCACUCCAGAUGUUUGAUACUAUAUAUAGGAAGCCAGAGAUAGAUGCAUAUGACAUGAAGCGAAAAAUAUUGGAUGACAUUAGUGUGGACGCGGAGUGAAGAUAUGUCCAUUUUAGUUAUCCAGCUGUACCAGAUGAGCAAAUAUUCAGUUCAUUCUCUCCUUACAUCCCUAGUGGCACAACUUCAGCUUUGGUUGGACAUAAUGGAAGCGUGAAGUCAACAGUGAUCCGUCUUAUUUAUAGAUUUUAUGAUCCACAAACUGGUGAAGUACUUAUUGAUUGAAUUAAUCUAAAAGUGUUCCAGCUUAAAUGAAUUUGGGAUAAACUUGGUUUCGUCAGCCAAGAACUUGUGUUGUUCGCAUCCAGGAUUGAGGAUAAUAUUGUGUAUGGAAGGAUGGGGAAAUAAUUGAGGAGAUUAGAGCUGCAGCUGAGCUUGCAAAUGCUGCCAAAUUCGUUGAUAAACUUCCACAGGGACUAUUAAUUAUGAUGGGUGAGCACGGAAUUCAGUUGUCUGUUUGAUAGGGACAACGAGUUGCCAUAGCCAACAAUUAUGAAAGACCCGCGAAUUCUACUUCUAGAGGAAGCACCAAGUGUAUUUGAUGGUGAAUUAGAGAGGAUUGUGCAAGAAGCAUUGUAUAGGAUUAUGGUCAACAGAACAGCAGUUGUUGUUGCCCAUCGUUUGAGCACAGUGAGGAAUGCCGAUAUGUUUGCGUGAUUCGUCAAGGUGGUGAAAAAGGUCAUAUGAUUGCUAGAAGUGAACAAAGAUUCACAACUACAAGGUGCAAUUUCAAGACAAAGUCAGAAAUUAAUACGGAAUCUGGUUGACAGUCAGGUCAACUAAUGUCUUUUCUGCGUUCCACAAGUUUGGGGAUCAUCUGGAUCAGGAAACAACCACCACUACUCAUUCUCUGUCCCAUUUGGUCCACUAGCACUAGCAGGAGCAAGUGUUCCUGAAACUGCAUUAACAGACCGGUGGCACCUAUAAAAACUGUCAGAAAAGUGUCAAGAAGUUCCGCUACAGCCUUGCCUAUCUCAACAAACCAGAGGUUCUGGUUCUGAUAGCAGGAGCCGUAUCUGCAAUAAUUAAUGGUGUGAUUACGUUACUGUAUUAGCUGGUCUUCAGGGCAGGGAUCUCACUUCACAAGUUUAUUUGGUGCUGGUCAAGCUGCUACAUUCCAGAUGGUUGAGACUAUAUAUAGGAAGCCAGAGAUAGAUGCAUAUGACAUGAAGGGAAAAAUAUUGGAUGACAUAAGUCUGGAGGCAGAGCGAAGAUAUGUCCAUUUUAGUUAUCCAACCAUACCAGAUGAGCAAAUAUUCAGUGCACUCUCUCUUUCCAUCCAUAGUGGCACAACUGCAGCUUUGAUUGGACAUAGUGGAAGCGUGAAGUCAACAGUGAUCUGUCUGAUCCAUAGAUUUUAUGAUCCACAAUCUGGUGUACUUACUGAUGGAAUUAAUCUAAAAGUGUUCCAGCUUAAAUGGAUUUGGGAGAGAAUUGGUCUCGUCAGUUAGGAACCCGUGUUGUUCGCUUCCAGGGGUGAGGAUAAUAUUAUGUAUGGGAAGCCUACCUGAUAUUGGUUGGAAAAUGGUGUUCCCAUUGGAUCCACCACUUACUAAGGUGCUCUUGACAGGAGAACAACUAGGAUGCAUAGAUGAGUUUCUGACAAUUGUAUCAAUGCUUUCAGUGCCAUCAGUGUUCUUUAGACCUAAGGACAUGGUGGAGGAUAGUGAUGCUGCAAGGGAAAAAUUCUUUGUUUAAGAAUCUGACCACCUCACACUACUAAAUGUUUACCAGCAAUGGAACCUAAUCAAUACCGGGGUGAUUGGUGCAAUAAUCACUUUUUACAUGUAAAAGGGUUUCAGAAAGCAAGAAGGGUGAGAUCCCAGUUACUCAAUAUUCUGAAUACACUGCAAUCCCACUCAAAUCCUGUGGACUUGUUUGGGAUAUUGUGAGGAAGGCUAUCUGUUCUGAAUAAUUUCACAAUUCAGCAAGGCUUAAAGGUGUUGGGGGUGUAUGUUAAUUUGCAGAAUGGGAUGCCUUGCCACUUGCACCCAAGCAGUGCUCUAUAUGGUUUUGGUUACACCCCAGAUUAUGUGGUUUGUCAUGGGUCGAUCUUGACAAGAAAGAAGUACAUGCAGUGUGCAACAUUUGUAGAGUCCUAGUGGUUAGCUGAACUGGGCCUAGUUCUUUUUGGUGAAGGACUCGAUAACAUCAAUGUUGAAGCACAAAAUGAAGCAGAACUACUGAACGGGGGAUUUAAUACAGAAAAACCCUGCAAUAAAACCAAGCAAGGUUUUGGGGCUACCGACUUAACUAAGAUCACUUCUCCUACAGUUUCUGAAGCAGAUACACUUGGCUCUUCAAAUGUUCCUUUUUCUUUUGGCCUAGACUAUUAUGUCUUCCUUGGACAUGUCUCAAGAGUUCCUUCAAAUCAGGGGACCAACUUUUGAGAUUGGAGGGAAGGUCUUAUUAACUUUUGAAGGAAAUCCUCAUUGAAAAUCAGUGUUAGAUUUGAUAAGCCCAUAGAUGGUGGAAUUGACAUAUGGGGUCCUAUUGAGGUGGGUCAUUAUUCUUCCAUAAGCCCCUGGCGUGGAAGAUCUGGAUACGCUACUCAUCAACUUGUUAUUUGAGUAAUUUCUGCAUCAAAAUUUUGGAUGCUUUUGAGCUGUGAUUUAUGGGUAGUAAGAUAUACCUCCUUUUGCAGACAUCAAAGGGUUUCUAUCAGAUGUCAAACCUCCUCGUGCUGCAGAAUAUAUAUAAAAAUCCAUUUGAGCUCCGAAGAAAACUGUUAAGACAUUGUAUUUCACAUCCUCUUCAUUUAGUGGUGGCUUGAUAUCCUGCCACGUGAGGAUAUCAGUGGGAAGAUCACACUUGCCCUUUUAAAGGGCAUAGAAAGUCAUGUUUGGAAGAUUCGUUUGGAAUCUAUUGAAGUUGUUAACAAAAUCUUGGAAGAGGCCAGUAAGCGCAUUCAGCUAACCGGAACUGUAGAUUUAUUCAGAUCUCUUAGAAGACGCCUAUUUGACAUCAAUAAAAAAUUAGUUAUGGCAAGUUUGGCUGCUGUAGGUGCUGCCGCAUCUGCAAUGGUGAUCAGUUGAUAAGUCAAGCAAGGGCAUUCUAUCAGAUGAUUUGAAAUGCCUGGGUGACAAUAAAAAGAAUUUGACAGAAUCUUCUUUGACUACUUUAGAUUCUUGGCUUGCUGCUGUACAUCUUGACAAAACGGUUAUCUUUUAGAUGGAGAGUGAGAGAUGUUUGAAGAAGAAGUGAGAUGAGAUGUACGAAUAAAAAAUAAAAUAAAAUAAAAUAAAAAAAAAGGGGGAAAAAAAAAAAAGAGGAUGUCAGAUUUGUAUGAGAAAAAAAAGAGAAGUAGGGAAAAAAAAUGUGAGAAGAAAGAAAAUAGACUAUAUGAAAAGGAAAAUAAAAAAAAUAUGGAGAAGUUGUGAUAAAAGAGGAAGAAUGAGUUACAUGUGAAAAAAAAAAAAAAACAGAAGAUUGAAAAGGAAAAGAAAAAAAGUGGGAGAUUGGGUAAGACGUGAAAAAAAAAGAGAAAAAUGAGGCACUGAAGGCAUAUAAUAUUAUGUGUUGUGCUGUGCUGAAAAUCUACCCACUGUGCGACGAUCUCAUUAUAAUCCUAUCAGGUUGUUGAUUCGAGUUUUGGGAAAGCAGACCAUGGUUGGGUGCUUCAAUGUGAUAUGGAACUUUCUUUUUGGGUGGUAAAUAAUAUUAAUUCAAGUGGUUUUCCUUUCUAUACUUGCCCAUAUUUUUUUGCUUAGCGAAUAUAGGUAGUAUUUUCUCUCUUCUAAUCAAUUUUAAUUCUGAAAGUUCUGUGGUUCGCUUGAACAUGGCAGGGAAGAUUGUGAAAAUGAAUUAAAAGUAGCUAAGCAUUUUGUUGAUUGGGAACGAUAUUGUUUUUGAGUUUUGUGAUCUGAGAGUGCAAAUAUAAGAGAUGGGGCUUGACAAUGAAUACUGUACGAUUAGGGGUGAUGUGGUCGUGGAUCGUGGGUUGUUUGAUUUCAUGGGAAAGGGGGAGGAGGAGAAUCCUCAAGAGGAGUGAAAAUGCUUGUUCCCUAGUAUGAUAAUUUAUGCAUACUUAUCAUGUAUAUUUGUUUAAUUUAUUUAUGUAUUUGUGUCUAGAAAUACAUGCCAUAAACUUUGAAUUGUUCAAUCAAGAGCCAAUUAAAAAGAUAAAACUUUGGAAACACAAUUUUGAAAUUGAUUCUGAUUAAACAUAGAAGUUUGAAUAAUUUCUAGUAAAAGUUUUGGUUUAUUUAUUUCUUUAUAGUAAGAAACUUGUGAAAUUAUUCACACACACACUAACUCACAUUUAUAUGAUCUUUCAAACUUGUGAUCUUAGACUCAAAUAAUGAGUGACAUCUUAAGGUAAUAUAAGAUGAUGGCAUUUGAAAAAAAAAAGUGAGGUGCAAAGAGGGGAAAAAAAACAUGUUUGUUUUUGCAGUUGAAAAGAAACGAAAAAUCUCCAAUGAGAUGGCUGCAAAAAGUUUCUUAUGAAAAGGGUUACCUAGUGAGAUCAGACCGAAAGCUUCCUUGACUCGAAAAAAAUGGGAAUAAGGGAAAAUAGCUGGCUACUCAUUAGAGUGAAAGCCGUCAUAGAAACAAAAGAAAAAAACUAGAGAGGUUUCAAAAAGAAAAAGAAAAGAGUGAAAGCAAAAAAAAAAAUAAAAUAAAAUAAAAAAAUAGGGGGUGUUUUUGCAGUUGAAAAGAAAUGAAAAAUCUCCAAUGAGAUGGCUGCAAAAAGUUUCUUAUGAAAAGGGCUACCUAGUGAGAUCAGACCGAAAGCUUCCUUGACUUGAAAAAAAUGGGAAUAAGGGAAAAUAGCUGGCUAAGUGAAAGCUGUCAUAGAAAAGAAAAAAACUAGAGAGGUUUCAAAAAGAAAAAGAAAAGAGUGAAAAUUCACAUGCUUUUGAAAUCUUUGAAUCCUGUGUGAAAUUUGUUUUUGUUUUUGAACACAAAUUUGAAAUUGAUUAUAUUUGUGUUGAGUUUAUUUCUAAUGCACAUAUAAUGGACUAAGUUGACUACUAUUGAUUUAUAAAUGGACUAGAAAUCUUUGAACCUAAUUAUGCGAAUUUUUAUGUUUCUAAAGAUAAUAUAAUAAAAAUUUGUGGGUCCAAAUAAUGUUCAAUUUGAUUGAUGAUUUAUUGACACUUCGAAAACCUUGGCAUGUUUAGAUUUAUAUAUUUAUAUAUGUGUCUUUGCAUAUCGUCACAAAAUUGAAAAAUGACAAAAAUAUAUUUCUUUAUAAUUUUGUUUUUUUGUGUCUUUAUUUAUAUAUUUGAUCAUAUGAGAGAUCAUGUAGGGUGUAUGGGGACUUACAAUUGCAAAAGAAGCAAUUUAGGGCAUUUUUAAGUACGUCGCUAGGAAACAUAGCAAGGCUUCAUCGAUCGACCAUUGAAAUCAAAUCAAUCGAUGCAAGUGUCACUCGGUUCCAGUGUCUCAUUUGGUCUACCAACAUCAGCUGGACUGAGUGUUCCUGAAACUGCAUUAAGAGAACCCGGUGGCCACCUAUCAAAACUGUCAGAACAGCGUUUAGAAGUUCCACUGCCCCUCCUUGCCCAUCUCUACAAACCAGAGGUUCCAGUUCUGAUAGCAGGAGCUGUAUCUGCAAUUAUUAAUGAAGUGAGUUGUGCUUAGAAGGGGAGCAUAAUAUUUGGAGCUACUCAAGGAUCCUAAUGGAGCAUACUCUCAGCUCAUAUGAUUUCUAGAAGUGAGCAAGACAAGUCUUAAAUUACCACGGAAUCUGGUAGAUUGUCAAAUCAACAAAUUUCAUUCCUGCGUUCCACAAGUUGGGAAUCAUCUGGAGGAAACAACAAUCACCUCCCACUCUGUCUCACAAGGGAGAGUGUGGCUUGCAUGGGUGCUUUUAUAUGUUAUAGAAGUUUUGUUUAGGAAGGUCUUUACGGCAGGCAUCUCCAAUUCUCCUUGCAUGAGUGCAUUUGCUGCAGGUCAAGCUGUUGUAUUAUAGAUGUUUGAGACUAUAAAUAAGACGCUAGAGAUAGAUGCAUUUGACAUGAAUGGAAAAGUAUUGAAUGACAUUAGUCCACUUUGAGCGGAGCUGUUUGAGAGGUUGAUGAUGUUAUCAACCAGAUCCGGACAGAGAACUUCACAAAUAUCUAAACCAGGCAACCGAACUCCCUGUUUCUACUUACGCUGCAACCGGAACAUUUGAGGAAGACAGAUAAGGCAAGACUCCUGGAAAUGAAGAACCUUCGACCCAAGACAAUCCAAAGGAGAAAUAUGGAACAUAGUGCCUGGAGAUAUAGAGUUAAGUGAUGUCCAUUUUUGUUAUUCAGCCUGACUAGAUGAUCGAAUAGUCAGUGCAUUCUCUCUUUCCAUCCCUAGUUGCACAACUGCAGCUUUGGUUGGACAUAGUGGAAGAGCUUAAUGGUUUAGGUUGAUAAUUGUUAUCGUCAGCCAAGAACCCGUGUUGUUUGCAUCCAGCAUCGAGGAUAAUAUUGUGUAUGGGGAAGGAUGGGACAACAAUUGAGGAUAUUAGAGUUGCAGCUGAGCUAGUAAAUUCUGCCAAAUUCAUUGAUAAACUACUUCAGGUACACCGCACUAUGGUGGGUGAGCAGGAAAUUCAGUUGUUUGGUGGAUGGAAGCAACGAGUUUCCCUCGCCUGAGCAAUUCUGAAGGAUCCCCAAAAUCUACUUCUAAAUGAAGCAACAAGUGCUCUUGAUGCUGAAUCCGAGAGGAACUUGCAAGAAGCAAUGGAUAGGGUUAUGGUCAACAGGACAACAGUUAUUGUAGCCCAUCGAUUGAGCACGUUGAGGAAUGCCGAUAUGAUUGCCGUGAUUUAUCAAGGAAAGAUUUUUGAAAAAGGUGUCUUAGAUUUGGGUUCACUAAUUAUUUUGUAACUCGAUUACAUAUAGAGCAAAUAUAAAGGUUACAUUUGAAGUUUGAACUUGUGACCUGAUUUUUAACAGGCUUUUAGUUUUCAUAUUCUUGCUUUUUGUC